GACGUAGGAGGCGAGCGUUGUCCGGAUUCAUUGGGCGUAAAGAGCGUGUAGGCGGCCAGGUAGGUCCGUUGUGAAAACUCGAGGCUCAACCUCGAGACGUCGGCGGAAACCCUCUGGCUAGAGUCCGGAAGAGGAGAGUGGAAUUCCUGGUGUAGCGGUGAAAUGCGCAGAUAUCAGGAAGAACACCCGUGGCGAAGGCGGCUCUCUGGGACGGUACUGACGCUGAGACGCGAAAGCGUGGGGAGCGAACAGG
rnacentral:rRNA from 1 species